GAUGAAGAACGUAGCGAAAUGCGAUAAGUAAUGUGAAUUGCAGAAUUCAGUGAAUCAUCGAAUCUUUGAACGCACAUUGCGCCCCCUGGUAUUCCGGGGGGCAUGCCUGUCCGAGCGUCAUUACAACCCUCAAGCUCAGCUUGGUAUUGGGCCCCGCCGACCCGGCGGGCCCUAAAGUCAGUGGCGGUGCCGUCCGGCUCCGAGCGUAGUAAUUCUUCUCGCUCUGGAGGUCCGGUCGUGUGCUCGCCAGCAACCCCCAAUUUUUUUUAGGUUGACCUCGGAUCAGGUAGGGAUACCCGCUGAACUUAAGCAUAUCAAUAAGCGGAGGA
rnacentral:misc_RNA from 1 species